rnacentral:rRNA from 1 species
AUUGAACGCUGGCGGCAUGCCUUACACAUGCAAGUCGAACGGUAACAGGUCUUCGGAUGCUGACGAGUGGCGAACGGGUGAGUAAUCCAUCGGAACGUGCCUAGUAGUGGGGGAUAACUACUCGAAAGAGUGGCUAAUACCGCAUGAGAUCUACGGAGGAAAGCAGGGGAUCGAAAGACCCUGUCCUACUAGAGCGGCAGAGGGCAGAUUAGGUAGUUGGUGGGAUAAAAGCUUACCAAGCCGACGAUCUGUAGCUGGUCUGAGAGGACGAUCAGCCACACUGGGACUGAGACACGGCCCAGACUCCUACGGGAGGCAGCAGUGGGGAAUUUUGGACAAUGGGCGCAAGCCUGAUCCAGCAAUGCCGCGUGCAGGAUGAAGGCCUUCGGGUUGUAAACUGCUUUUGUACGGAACGAAAAGCCCUGGGUUAAUACCCUGGGGUCAUGACGGUACCGUAAGAAUAAGCACCGGCUAACUACGUGCCAGCCGCCGCCGUAAAAC